rnacentral:piRNA from 1 species
UCACCCUGAUAGAGGUAUAAGAAAGUGUGU